rnacentral:sRNA from 1 species
UGACCAUUUCUUUAUCGGCACCGCCGGUAAAGGGACAGAAUGCCAUACGGACAGCUAGGUCAAAUGCCGG